GCUAAUGGGUUUGUGUGAACUUACUAAUGGAUUUUUGUGUUGAGAAAUAUACAACUUUAAGAUGCUUUGAAUCAUAGCCAUGGAACCAAACAAGUUAAGAUGAAGUUUUAUGGAAAGUUGAAGAAAAGUUGUUUAACCAAGGAGGCAUGACAAACUAGAAAGGGGAGUAUCCCACUUCAAUGUUCUUUUGUUCUCUUACUUUGUU
rnacentral:lncRNA from 1 species